rnacentral:rRNA from 1 species
GGGGAAUAUUGCACAAUGGGGGAAACCCUGAUGCAGCGACGCCGCGUGGAGGAAGAAGGUCUUCGGAUUGUAAACUCCUGUUGUUGAGGAAGAUAAUGACGGUACUCAACAAGGAAGUGACGGCUAACUACGUGCCAGCAGCCGCGGUAAAACGUAGGUCACAAGCGUUGUCCGGAAUUACUGGGUGUAAAGGGAGCGCAGGCGGGAAGACAAGUUGGAAGUGAAAUCCAUGGGCUCAACCCAUGAACUGCUUUCAAAACUGUUUUUCUUGAGUAGUGCAGAGGUAGGCGGAAUUCCCGGUGUAGCGGUGGAAUGCGUAGAUAUCGGGAGGAACACCAGUGGCGAAGGCGGCCUACUGGGCACCAACUGACGCUGAGGCUCGAAAGUGUGGGUAGCAAACAGGAUUAGAUACCCUGGUAGUCCACACCGUAAACGAUGAUUACUAGGUGUUGGAGGAUUGACCCCUUCAGUGCCGCAGUUAACACAAUAAGUAAUCCACCUGGGGAGUACGACCGCAAGGUUGAAACUCAAAGGAAUUGACGGGGGCCCGCACAAGCAGUGGAGUAUGUGGUUUAAUUCGACGCAACGCGAAGAACCUUACCAAGUCUUGACAUCCUGCGACGGUUCUGGAAACAGAACUUUCCUUCGGGACGCAGAGACAGGUGGUGCAUGGUUGUCGUCAGCUCGUGUCGUGAGAUGUUGGGUUAAGUCCCGCAACGAGCGCAACCCUUAUGGUCAGUUACUACGCAAGAGGACUCUGGCCAGACUGCCGUUGACAAAACGGAGGAAGGUGGGGAUGACGUCAAAUCAUCAUGCCCUUUAUGACUUGGGCUACACACGUACUACAAUGGCGUUAAACAAAGAGAAGCAAGACCGCGAGGUGGAGCAAAACUCAGAAACAACGUCCCAGUUCGGACUGCAGGCUGCAACUCGCCUGCACGAAGUCGGAAUUGCUAGUAAUCGUGGAUCAGCAUGCCACGGUGAAUACGUUCCCG